rnacentral:sRNA from 1 species
GUUUCAAUUCCUCAUAGGCAGGCUAUCGGCCUUCGGUUGUGAGACGCUGGAAAAGGAGGGUUUUCAUGG